rnacentral:misc_RNA from 1 species
AACGCACAUUGCGCCCCCUAGCACUCUAGAGGGCAUGCCUGUCCGAGCGUCAUUUCUACCCUCAAGCGCUGUUCCGCUUGGAGUUGGGGCUGUUGCAGCGAGCACACGGUGCCCUGCAAGCCCUGAAAUACAGCGGCGGGCCCGCCGGCACACCGAGCGCAGUAACAUUACUUCUCGUUCUGGGCGUGCGGCGCGGCGCAGCCGACCUCUAAAACUUUCCAAAGUUGACCUCGGAUCAGGUAGGACUACCCGCUGAACUUAA